rnacentral:rRNA from 1 species
CCUACGGGGGGCAGCAGUGGGGAAUAUUGCACAAUGGGCGCAAGCCUGAUGCAGCCAUGCCGCGUGUGUGAAGAAGGCCUUCGGGUUGUAAAGCACUUUCAGCGGGGAGGAAGGCGUUAAGGUUAAUAACCUUGGCGAUUGACGUUACCCGCAGAAGAAGCACCGGCUAACUCCGUGCCAGCAGCCGCGGUAAUACGGAGGGUGCAAGCGUUAAUCGGAAUUACUGGGCGUAAAGCGCACGCAGGCGGUUUGUCAAGUCGGAUGUGAAAUCCCCGGGCUCAACCUGGGAACUGCAUUCGAAACUGGCAGGCUAGAGUCUUGUAGAGGGGGGUAGAAUUCCAGGUGUAGCGGUGAAAUGCGUAGAGAUCUGGAGGAAUACCGGUGGCGAAGGCGGCCCCCUGGACAAAGACUGACGCUCAGGUGCGAAAGCGUGGGGAGCAAACAGGAUUAGAUAGCCGGGUAGUC